AUACGGAGGGUGCAAGCGUUAUUCGGAAUCAUUGGGCGUAAAGGGCGCGUAGGCGGCCUGACAAGUCAGGGGUGAAAUCCCUCGGCUCAACCGAGGAACUGCCUCUGAAACUGUCAGGCUUGAGGCCGCGAGAGGGUAGUGGAAUUCCCAGUGUAGCGGUGAAAUGCGUAGAUAUUGGGAGGAACACCAGUGGCGAAGGCGGCUACCUGGACCGGUUCUGACGCUGAGGCGCGAAAGUGUGGGGAGCAAACAGCAUUAGAAACCCUUGUAGUCC
rnacentral:rRNA from 1 species